ensembl:misc_RNA Y_RNA Y RNA
GGCUAAUUUGAGUGAAGUGGUGUUUAUAACUAAGUGUUCACAACCAAUUACAGAUUUCUUUGUUCAUUCUCCACUCCCACUGCUUCACUUGAUUAGCCUUAA